rnacentral:misc_RNA from 1 species
UUGAAUAUACUACAUGGGGAUGUUGCUGACUGUUCAUUGUUUGAAUGGUAAUGUGCACUCCUCUAAUAUUCAUUAUCCACCUGUGCACAUAGAGUAGGCAUGGAUUCAGUUCCUUGCCUAUGUUUUUAUCACACAUACUCUGUGAAAGAUUGUUUAUGUAUAUAAAAAAACAAUAUUA